rnacentral:rRNA from 1 species
UACGUAGGGUGCAGGCGUUAAUCGGAAUUACUGGGCGUAAAGCGUGCGCAGGCGGUUUGUUAAGACAGGUGUGAAAUCCCCGGGCUUAACCUGGGAACUGCGCUUGUUACUGGCAGACUUGAGUGUGGCAGAGGGGGGUGGAAUUCCAGGUGUAGCAGUGAAAUGCGUAGAGAUCUGGAGGAACACCGGUGGCGAAGGCGGCAUCCUGGACCGGCAUUGACGCUGAGGAGCGAAAGCCAGGGGAGCAAACGGG